UGAGCAAUCUGCCCUUCUCUUCGGAAUAAGCGUUGGAAACGACGUCUAAUGCCGAAUACGACCUCCUUUCGCAUGAUCGGAGGUGGAAAGCUCCGGCGGAGAAGGAUGAGCUCGCGGCCUAUCAGCUAGUUGGUGUGGGUAAUGGCCCACCAAGGCGACGACGGGUAGCCGGCCUGAGAGGGUGAUCGGCCACAUUGGAACUGAGACACGGUCCAGACUCCGUACGGGAGCAG
rnacentral:rRNA from 1 species